GAGUGUAGCUCAGUGGUAGAGCAUAACCUUGCCAAGGUUGGGGUCGCGAGUUCGAAUCUCGUCACUC
rnacentral:tRNA from 1 species